AUACGGAAGGUCCGGGCGUUAUCCGGAUUUAUUGGGUUUAAAGGGAGCGCAGGCGGAGAUGCAAGCGUGACGUCAAAUUUCGGGGCUCAACCCCGUCUCGCGUCGCGAACUGCGUCCCUUGGUUGCGGGAAGGGGAGGCGGAACUCGUGGUGUAGCGGUGAAAUGCAUAGAUAUCACGAAGAACUCCGAUCGCGAAGGCAGCCUUCCGGCCCGUCAACGACGCUCAUGCUCGAAGGUGCGGGUAUCAAACAGGAUUAGAUACCCUGGUAGUCCGCACAGUAAACGAUGGACACCCGCGGUUUGGCCUAUAUGGCUGAGCCGCCAAGCGAAAGCGUUAAGUGUCCCACCUGGGGAGUACGCCGGCAACGGUGAAACUUAAAGGAAUUGACGGG
rnacentral:rRNA from 1 species